AUUGAACGCUGGCGGCAGGCUUAACACAUGCAAGUCGAACGGUAACAUAAAGAAGCUUGCUUCUUUGAUGACGAGUGGCGGACGGGUGAGUAAUGCUUGGGAAUCUAGCUUAUGGAGGGGGAUAACUACGGGAAACUGUAGCUAAUACCGCGUAGUAUCGAGAGAUGAAAGUGUGGGACCUUCGGGCCACAUGCCAUAGGAUGAGCCCAAGUGGGAUUAGGUAGUUGGUGAGGUAAAGGCUCACCAAGCCGACGAUCUCUAGCUGGUCUGAGAGGAUGACCAGCCACACUGGGACUGAGACACGGCCCAG
rnacentral:rRNA from 1 species